GAUUAUGGCUCAGGAUGAACGCUGGCGGCGUGCUUAACACAUGCAAGUCGAACGAAGCAUUCCAACUCUCGGAGGAAGAAAUGACUGAGUGGCGGACGGGUGAGUAACGCGUGGGUAACCUGCCUUAUACAGGGGGAUAACAGUUAGAAAUGACUGCUAAUACCGCAUAACCCGCUAGUACCGCAUGGUACAGACGGAAAAGAUUUAUCGGUAUAAGAUGGACCCGCGUCUGAUUAGCUAGUUGGUGAGGUAAUGGCUCACCAAGGCGACGAUCAGUAGCCGGCUUGAGAGAGUGAACGGCCACAUUGGGACUGAGACACGGCCCAAACUCCUACGGGAGGCAGCAGUGGGGAAUAUUGCACAAUGGGGGAAACCCUGAUGCAGCAACGCCGCGUGAAGGAAGAAGUAUUUCGGUAUGUAAACUUCUAUCAGCAGGAAAGAAAAUGACGGUACCUGACUAAGAAGCCCCGGCUAACUACGUGCCAGCCGCAGC
rnacentral:rRNA from 1 species